rnacentral:rRNA from 1 species
CCUACGGGUGGCAGCAGUAGGGAAUCUUUCACAAUGGGCGAAAGCCUGAUGGAGCAACGCCGCGUGCAGGAUGAAGGCCUUCGGGUUGUAAACUUCUUUUAUAAGCGAGAAAUAUGAUGGUAACUUAUGAAUAAGGCUCGGCUAACUACGUGCCAGCAGCCGCGGUCAUACGUAGGAUCCGAGCAUUAUCCGGAGUGACUGGGUGUAAAGAGUUGCGUAGGUGGCAUAAUAAGUAGCUAGUGAAAUCUGGUGGCUCAACCAUUCAGACUAUUAGCUAAACUGUUAAGCUCGAGACCGUUAGGGGUAACUGGAAUUUCUAGUGUAGGAGUGAAAUCCGUAGAUAUUAGAAGGAACACCAAUAGCGUAGGCAGGUUGCUGGGACGGGUCUGACACUAAGGCACGAAAGCGUAGGGAGCAAACGGGAUUAGAUACCCCAGUAGUC